rnacentral:tRNA from 2 species
GCAGAUGUGAUGAAAUUGGUAAACAUGUUUACCUUAGGAGUAAAAUCUUGAAGGUUCGAAUCCUUCCAUCUGUA